AGAGUUUGAUCAUGGCUCAGAGCGAACGCUGGCGGCGUGCUUAACACAUGCAAGUCGAGUGCGCGUCUGUAGCAAUACAGAUGGCGCACGGCGCACGGGUGCGUAACACGUGGGUAAUCUGCCCUUCGAUGGGGAAUAACUCGCCGAAAGGCGAGCUAAUUCCGCAUAACAUUCCUUGAACCUCGGUUUGGGGACUCAAAAGCCGUAAGGCGUCGGAGGAGGAACCCGCGCACGAUUAGCUAGUUGGUAGGGUAACGGCCUACCAAGGCUUUGAUCGUUAGCUGGUCUGAGAGGAUGGCCAGCCACACUGGAACUGAGACACGGUCCAGACUCCUACGGGAGGCAGCAGUGGGGAAUCUUGCACAAUGGGCGAAAGCCUGAUGCAGCGACGCCGCGUGGGGGAUGAAGCUUUUCGGAGUGUAAACCCCUUUCGACCCGGACGAAUGCCCCGCAAGGGGACUGACGGUACGGGUAUAAGAAGCCCCGGCUAACUACGUGCCAGCAGCCGCGGUAAGACGUGGGGGGCCAGCGUUGCUCGGAAUUACUGGGUGUAAAGGGUUCGUAGGCGGUGUAGCAAGUCGGGAGUGAAAUCUCUGGGCUCAACCCAGAGACUGCUUCCGAAACUGCUGUGCUUGAGUGUGGGAGAGGCGCGUGGAAUUGCAGGUGUAGCGGUGAAAUGCGUAGAUAUCUGCAGGAACACCCGUGGCGAAAGCGGCGCGCUGGACCACUACUGACGCUGAGGAACGAAAGCUAGGGGAGCAAACAGGAUUAGAUACCCUAGUAGUCC
rnacentral:rRNA from 1 species